CCUACGGGAGGCAGCAGUGGGGAAUAUUGGACAAUGGGGGCAACCCUGAUCCAGCCAUGCCGCGUGUGUGAAGAAGGCCCUCGGGUUGUAAAGCACUUUCAGUGAGGAAGAACGCCUGGUGGUUAAUACCCAUCAGGAAAGACAUCACUCACAGAAGAAGCACCGGCUAACUCCGUGCCAGCAGCCGCGGUAAUACGGAGGGUGCGAGCGUUAAUCGGAAUUACUGGGCGUAAAGCGCGCGUAGGUGGCUUGAUAAGCCGGUUGUGAAAGCCCCGGGCUCAACCUGGGAACGGCAUCCGGCACUGUCAAGCCAGUGUACAGGAGAGGUAGGUAGAAUUCCCGGUGUUGCGGGGAAAAGCGACGAGAUUGGGCGCGAUACCCGUGGCGAAGCAGGCCUGCUACACUGACUGAGCCACUGAGGUGCAAGAGCAUCCGUAGAACUCAAGCAUAGCAACAAUAGUAGUA
rnacentral:rRNA from 1 species